GCCCGGCUAGCUCAGGCGGUAGAGCACGAGACUCUUAAUCUCGCUGUCGUGGGUUCGAGCCCCACGUUGGGCG
rfam:Ixodes scapularis strain Wikel colony gcontig_1107729212256, whole genome shotgun sequence.